CUUCCUCUCUCUCAUCGAUUCUUCUCUCUUGCCGUCGUCUACAACCUCCUUCGCCGCCAUCAUCGUCGGGUCACCAUCAUCUUCCUCCUCUCUUUCGCCUGAUUCGUCUUCUUUCUUCCUCUCUCAGACUCAUUCUCUCCCCACGAUCAUUCUCUCUCCACCGUCACCACCACCAUUCUCAACCGCCGUCUCACCUUCUCACCACCACCGUCGCUUCAGAUCCGACACCAUCCUCUCACCACCGCAAACUCAGAACCCAUAAACAAGAGGAAGAAUAACAGAA
rnacentral:lncRNA from 1 species